rnacentral:rRNA from 1 species
AUUGAACGCUGGCGGCAUGCUUUACACAUGCAAGUCGAACGGCAGCGCGGGCUUCGGCCUGGCGGCGCGUGGCGAACGGGUGAGUAAUACAUCGGAACGUGCCCAGCAGUGGGGGAUAGCUCGGCGAAAGCCGGAUUAAUACUGCAUACGACCUGAGGGUGAAAGCGGGGGAUCUUCGGACCUCGCGCUAUUGGAGCGGCCGAUGGCAGAUUAGCUAGUUGGUGGGGUAAAGGCCUACCAAGGCGGCGAUCUGUAGCUGGUCUGAGAGGACGACCAGCCGCACUGGAACUGAGACACGGCCCAGGCUCCUACGGGAGGCAGCAGUGGGGAAUUUUGGACAAUGGGCGAAAGCCUGAUCCAGCAAUGCCGCGUGUGUGAUGAAGGCCUUCGGGUUGUAAAGCACUUUUGGCGGGAACGAAAAGGACUGUGCCAAUACCACGGUUCGAUGACGGUACCCGCAGAAUAAGCACCGGCUAACUACGUG